rnacentral:sRNA from 1 species
CAACAGCUGAAAGGAGGUGGUCCGGUGUCUCAUUGUCAUCAUCCGCAAUCGGAAGUCGCGGCACGGGUCGCCGCUUACGAGGACUCCAAGUAAGCGCCGAGUUGCGAACCGCCUUGCGGUUCCGACAAUGGAAGGGCCGGUUUCCGAAUGGAGGCCGGCCC